rnacentral:rRNA from 1 species
AUUGAACGCUGGCGGCAGGCCUAACACAUGCAAGUCGAACGGAGCGGCGGACGGGCGAGCAAUGUCUGGGCAACUGCCUGACGUAGGGGGAUGACUACUGGAAACGGUGGCUACUACCGCAUACCAUCAUUUGUGCCCAUGUGGGAUUAGCUAGUCGGUGAGGUAAAGGCUCACCAAGGCGACGAUCCCUAGCUGGUCUGAGAGGAUGAUCAGCCACACUGGGACUGAGACACGGUCCAGACUCCUACGGGAGGCAGCAGUGGGGAAUAUUGGACAAUGGGCGAAAGCCUGAUCCAGCCAUGCCGCGUGAGUGAAGAAGGUCUUCGGAUUGUAAAGCACUUUAAGUAGGGAGGCGUUACCAACAGAAAAAGCACCGGCUAACUCCGUGCCAGCAGCCGCGGUAAUUC